rnacentral:rRNA from 1 species
CCCAGACUCCUACGGGAGGCAGCAGUAGGGAAUUUUCGGCAAUGGGGGGAACCCUGACCGAGCAACGCCGCGUGAACGAAGAAGUUAUUCGUAAUGUAAAGUUCUUUUAUCAGGGAAGAAAGAGGAAUUUGACGGUACCUGAGGAAUAAGCUCCGGCUAACUACGUGCCAGCAGCCGCGGUAAUACGUAGGGAGCGAGCGUUAUCCGGAUUUAUUGGGUUUAAAGGGUGCGUAGGCGGGCAUUUAAGCCGGCGGUCAAAUGUCGGGGCUCAACCCCGGCCUGCCGUCGGAACUGGGUGCCUUGAGUGGGCGAGAAGUAUGCGGAAUGCGUGGUGUAGCGGUGAAAUGCAUAGAUAUCACGCAGAACCCCGAUUGCGAAGGCAGCAUACCGGCGCCCUACUGACGCUGAGGCACGAAAGUGCGGGUAUCGAACAGGAUUAGAUACCCCGGUAC